AUGCAACAAAACAAUGUUUUCAACCAUGUACGGCUGGCCACGAGCUUAUUUUUAAUGAACAUGAGGUUACAAGUAUAUUUUAAUUAUAGAAUAUCGAUAUUUUGCUUUGUUAGCCCAUGCAGAGGGCUUCACAGAGGGCUUUCGGCACCUGGCAGCUGCCGGCCAGGUGAUUCGCAGGAAGGCUGCUGGGAUGGGCUGAGACGGCGUCCCGCCGCGUCCUCCCGCGCUGAUGCUGCUUCACCGGCUCCUUGUUCCUCCCUUCCUCGCUGGAUGCCGAUGCAGCGGUGCGUCCGGUCAGCCUGCUGCCGGACGGAGGAGAUGCUGCAGGCUCAUCGAAACCGCAAUGCAAGCAACCACAGGCUGAAAAUCAGAGCUCAGGCUCAGGAAGAUCGUCCCGAGGCCAAGGACGGCAGGAGUGCCAGGACAGCCUCAGGCUGCGGACCGGACCGCGAGGGACUUUGGCUGGCCGGUCCUCCCGCCUGGGCAACCCAGGCCGUCAGCAGCGACCUCCGCGGACGGAGCAGGUUACAUAGCCAACAACACUCUUUAUUUCAAGUCCAACUGGGUUUGCAAGGCACGCUUCAAACCAUCGGCAGCAACCAUCACCAUCACUGUGCAAAGCCUAUUUGUGGGACGAGGAGCAACGCCACUGCAGCCCCACCGGGACCUGCUAAGUUGGAAGCUCUUCCCUUAGCGCUUUCCGACCUGCUCCAAAGGGCCCAGCUACUUGUAAGGCCUCCAACAGUGGCAACUAAAGAAACAAAUCCGUGGUCAGGAAACUUGAAUUCAGCACAGAGGAGUCCCCACUGCUAACGGAAACGUCCAAAAAAGAAAGAAAAUCGAAAAUUACUCUAGGCGCUAGACCGCCAAUGCAAAGCUAACAUUUUGCUCUACGCUCCUGAUGAGAAACUUGCCCCUUCUUGGUGGAAAGCCUUGUAGACCGUUACUUUGCUCCACCAGCCCGUCCAUAAAACCGGCAGCUACAGAAGAGAGAAAGGCCAGACGCGCGGGCGGAUUUCAUCGGGACGGCGACGACGUCCAUGACCCUCUCCUAACCCUCCGAGUCCAAGCCCGGAUUGCUUAGAAACUCGUCUUCUCGACCGAGUCUCAUCUUGCUCGGGUAAAAGGUCUGCUGAAGAGCUUGAGCCGAAAACGAGCAGCCGACGGAAGCC
rnacentral:lncRNA from 1 species